UACGGGGGGGGCAAGCGUUGUUCGGAAUUACUGGGCGUAAAGGGCUCGUAGGCGGUCAACUAAGUCAGACGUGAAAUCCCUCGGCUUAACCGGGGAACUGCGUCUGAUACUGGAUGGCUAGAGUUUGGGAGAGGGAUGCGGAAUUCCAGGUGUAGCGGUGAAAUGCGUAGAUAUCUGGAGGAACACCGGUGGCGAAGGCGGCAUCCUGGACCAAUUCUGACGCUGAGGAGCGAAAGCCAGGGGAGCAAACGGG
rnacentral:rRNA from 1 species